GGGCUCACUUCGGCAACUCAUAUACUAAAAUUGAAAUGACACAGACAAGAUUAGCAUGACCUCUGUGUAAGGAUGAUGUGCAAAGUUGUGACACAUUCGCAUUUUUA
ensembl:snRNA U6 U6 spliceosomal RNA